AGAGACUAUUGAGUUAUAUUAAUAUGUUAUUACAGGAGUGAUUGGGUCCAUUAUUAUGAGAACACUACUAGAGAUUUACGUGUCUAUUCUGCCUAUCCAUUGCUAGUCUAUCCAACUCAUUUUGCUGGUGAUAAAGGAUGGUACAGUGACACAGAGCCACCAAUUGAGGUACUGCAGGAGAUACGUAAAAGAAAGUUAAAAGAAGAAGAGGAGGAAGCAGCAAAGAAGGAAAGA